UACGGAGGGUGCAAGCGUUAAUCGGAAUUACUGGGCGUAAAGCGCACGCAGGUGGCUGAGUCAGUCGAUUGUGAAAGCCCUGGGCUUAACCUGGGAAUUGCAGCCGAUACUACUCAGCUAGAGUAUGGGAGAGGGUAGUGGAAUUCCCGGUGUAGCGGUGAAAUGCGUAGAUAUCCGGAGGAACACCAGUGGCGAAAGCGGCCACCUGGACUGUACCUGACGCUCAAACACGAAAGCUAGGGGAGCGAACGGG
rnacentral:rRNA from 1 species